UAAGAGCUUGAAGUGUUGAGUUCCCUCUCAAUCUGCUCUUAUCGGCGUGAUUCUUCAUCAUUGACACCUCAAAGGAUCUCCUCUUAUAUUUGCUCAGUGGCCGAGCAAGUAUAUUCAUUUUGAACAAAGUUGCAAUCAUUUCUCUUGUUAUGGUUUUUUUAUUUAUAUGUAAAGAAAUAGGUAUAGAAAAAAGGUCGUGAUUAUUCAAAAAUUGGCAUCUAAUGAGUCUGUUUUCAUGAUCCAGGUCUAAUCUUUGCUGAUUAAAAUGAUCCGAACCAAGUCGCACUUGAAAUCUCAUACGUGAGUCCCCUUUAGCUGAGAAUCGCUUCACCUAUUCGAUAAUUGCCUGAACCAAGCUUGUUUGGAUUUGCCCCGAUUUUGGUUUGUUCCGAGAUUAUAUGAAAGUGUAUCAUAUGAAAGAAAUCUUUCAUUGAUUGUGAACCACCAUCCUCUUAUUAUCCCGCCACUGCUGAGGCUGAAUCUAAGUGUGCUUUUGUUAUGCAUUCCCUGCACAUUAUUGCUCUAUUCUGUUAAUCCGAGUCCGUGGGUUGAUGUUUAGGCUUGAACGGAAGUUGAACCAUAAUUAAGGAUCGGUUAGUAGUAUAAACUCUUGAAUCUCAUUUGUUCAGAUUGAGAUAAGCACUUCGUUAAUGUCUCUGUUUUCUUUGAUUUUCCUGCGGUGAGCUCCUUCUUUCCUCCGCCACGGGCAAACUUCCAACUCCAUCGACGCUACUUUCAGCAUCACAACUGCUCAUCUUCCAUCCGACACCACGAAGCUUUGACAAAAUGGAAGAUCGACGCCUGCUGACGGAGGUGAUGAACAGAAGAAGUUCGUCUCCCUCAAAUAGAGUCCCCAACGAACUGACAGCGACUGAGGCGGGCCAAUGGAGGCGACGGACUAUUGCCGCGGACUGAAGCCAUGGAAGCUGGUGACGUAGCUUUGGGUGAACGAUUCUCUCCAGAGGGUUUAGGCCUCAUGUAACUUGCUAUAGAACCGGUAGAGGCCGGCGCAUCCGAAUUUGAUUGAGUUGGAGUAAUACUUGAGCUAGAUUUUGAAUUCGAUAUGUAUGGUGCUACAAUUGGGCGGGAACUUGAAGAAUGUGCGGUUGAAUUUGUUCAAGAGA
rnacentral:lncRNA from 1 species